UGGGGAAUAUUGCACAAUGGGCGAAAGCCUGAUGCAGCGACGCCGCGUGAGGGAUGAAGGCCUUCGGGUUGUAAACCUCUUUCAACAGGGAAGAAGCGCAAGUGACGGUACCUGCAGAAGAUGCGCCGGCUAACUACGUGCCAGCAGCCGCGGUAAUACGUAGGGCGCAAGCGUUGUCCGGAAUUAUUGGGCGUAAAGAGCUCGUAGGCGGUUUGUCGCGUCUGGUGUGAAAACUCGAGGCUCAACCUCGAGCUUGCAUCGGGUACGGGCAGACUAGAGUGCGGUAGGGGAGACUGGAAUUCCUGGUGUAGCGGUGGAAUGCGCAGAUAUCAGGAGGAACACCGAUGGCGAAGGCAGGUCUCUGGGCCGCAACUGACGCUGAGGAGCGAAAGCAUGGGGAGCGAACA
rnacentral:rRNA from 1 species